rnacentral:lncRNA from 1 species
AAAGUAGAGAAAGUGGAAGAGGAAAGAGUUACCCCAGCGAGAACCGGGAACCGGGCUGCAGACUCUCCGGCCCGGGGGAGGGAUGAGUUUCACUCUGGUUGCCCAGGCUGGAGUGCAAUGGCGCGAUCUCGGCUCACCGCAACCUCUGCCUCCCGGAUUCAAGCGAUUCUCCUGCUUCAGCCUCCCGAGUAGCUGGGAUUACAGACCUGGGAAAGCUUCCUCCAGCCCUGAUGCUGGCCUGCAGUAUGGCACUUGACAGCUACUGGUAUUGUGGAUAGAAGCAAAGGCUCUGGACUCAGCAACACUUGGUUUGAAUUCCAGUUCUACCACUUACUAGCUGUGGUGCUGCUGACAACUUAAACUCCAUGAACCUCAGUUUUCUUCAUCUGUAAGGUGGGAUAACAGUACUUCUCUAAUAGGGAUAUUGUGAGGAUCAAAUAUGAUGAUCUAAAGCAGUUAGCACAAUAUCUUGCACAUAGUAAGUGCUUAAUAAGUGGCAGUUAUUAUUUCAUACAUUAUAAGGUGAUACCCCUGAACUUCCAUUGUAUCCAGAUUCAGAUUUCUGCAUGUUAAAGGACACAUCAUAUUGCAAGACGAUAGGGUGGUACUGCCUAUCAGCCAAUUGUGUAGGCUCCAGAUCCAUCAGCACAGCAAUGAUUGGGAAAGUACUUGAUUAUUCCAUGUUAUCCUCAUUUUAUAAAAUUUUGUCAGUGGAAAAUGGAAGUACCAAUAGUAGUGAUAAGAAGUAUGCAUCUGUCAAGUAAGUGAAAAUACAACCCACUGAAUGGGAGAAAAUGUUUGCAAAUCAUAUAUAAGGCAGUGGUCCACAACCUUUUUGGUACCAGGGACCGGUUUUGUGGAAGACAAUUUUUCCACGGUUGGGGGUGGGGAGGGGGUUGGGGGUGAGUGGGGAUGAUUUCAGGAUGAAACUGCUCCAUCUCAGAUCAUCAGGCAUUAGAUUCUCACAAGGAGCACCCAACCUAGAUCCCUCCCAAGUGCAGUUCCCAGUGGGGUUCACACUCCUGUGAAAAUCUAAUGCUGCCGAAGAUUUGACUGGAGGCAGAGCUCAGGUGCUAAUGCUCCCUUGCCUGCUGCUCACCUCCUGCUGUAUGGCCCCAUUCCCAACCAGUACCUCUCCAUGCAGGUGUGGGGAGGCAAUGCGGUGUGGGGAGGCAAUGCGGUGUGGGGGUGUUGGGAACUGCUAUGAUAAGGAACUUGUAUUCAGAAUAUAUGCAGAACUCUUAUUACUCAAUAAUAAAGAGACAAAUAACCCAAUUGAAAAGUGGGCUAAGGGUUUGAAUAGACAUUUCUCCAAAGAAGAUAAACAAAUGGCCAAUAAGCCCAUGCAAAGAUGCUCAACAUCCUAAUCACCAGGGAUAUCAGAAGGGAAAUGCAAAUCAAACCUGCAAUUAGGUAUUACUUCACACCUACUAGGAUGGCUGUAGCCAAUAAGACAGACAAUAACAAGUGUUGACAAGGAUGUGGAGAAAUUGAAACCUACAUAUAUUGCUGGUAGGAAUGCAAAAUGGUAAAACACUUUGCAAAACAGUGUAUCAAUUCCUCAAAAAAAAUUUUUUUUUUUUUGAGACGGAGUCUCUUGUCACUGAGGCUGGAAUGCAGUGGCAUGAUAUCAGCUCACUGCAACAUCCACCUCGUGGGUUCAAGUGAUUCUCCUGCCUCAGCCUCCCAAGUAGCUGGGAUUACAGGCACCUGCCAUCAUGCCCGGCUAAUUUUUGUAUUUUUAGUACAGACGGGGUUUCACCAUGUUGGCCAGGCUGAUCUUGAUCCUGACCUCAGGUGAUCCACCCACCUCGGCCUCCUAAAGUGUUGGGAUUACAGGCAUGAGCCACCUCACCCAGCCCAAUUCCUCAAAAUUUUAAAAUAGAGUUACUUUAUUAAUCAGCAAUUUCACUCUUAGGUAUCUGCCCAAGAGAAAUGAAACAAUUCAUCCACACAAACACUUUUACAUGAAUGUUAACAGCAGCAUUAUUCACAAUAGCCAAAAGGUGGAAACAGCUCAAAUAUCCAUCAACUGAUGAAAGGAUAAACAAAAUGUGGUAUAUUCACACAAUGAAAUAUUAAUGAUACAAAGGAAGUGCUGACACAUGCUGCAACAUAGAUGAACUUUGAAAAUAUGCUAAAUGAAAGCAGUUACAAAAGACCACAUAAUGCAUGAUUUGAUUUAUGUAAAUGUCCAGAAAGGGCAAAUCCAUAGAUACACUAUAGAAAAUAGAUUAGUCGUUGUCAGAGGCUAAAGAGAGUAGGGAGGAUUGGGAUGGGGAGUGACUUAUGGGUACAGGGUUUCUUUUAGGGGGACAAAGAUAUUUUGGAAUUAGUAGUGAUGGUUGCACAACCUAGUAAAUAUACUAAAAUAUAUGAAAUUGUACAUUUUCAAUGGGUGAAUUAUGUAGUAUACGUGAUUUAUAUCUCAACAAAAAGGAGUUUAAAAAGAAGUAUGUGUAUCAUUGACUCUUUCGAUAUAAACAUAGAAAUCAUUAGACUUAUCGAAAGGGAUGAAUCUUUAGCCUCCAUGGGAUGUUCUUAAGCCUAUUGCUGUUUUUUGAUUUGUGAAGGAAAAUAAUCAAAUUGAAGGUACAUUAGGAAGGACAGCAAACAUAUGAUCAGCGAUUGUGUCUAAAAAUGCAGGUGUAAUUGGACAUGCUGUACCACUUUUUAUUCCCAACAUAAAUUUGUUGUUUGACUUUUGUACUUUUGACAUUAGUAAUAUUUUCUGAAAUAAAUUGUGUAUGGAAGCAGGGGACUGUGUUUACUGUGUCAUGGGGAAGGCAAAUGAUCUCUCAGCCCUCUUCACUUCCCAUUUGUUUAAUGCUGAACCAUCAAGCAAACUUCCUCUAGGGAAUAAUUCAGCUGGUACCAGGAGACUGCACAUAAUUAUUUGGGCCACUGGAAAAUUCUAAUGCCCAUGAAAAAAUAGCUUUUGGUUUAUAGAUCAGUCUUUUGUGAAUUUGGGCAGGAAAAGUCAGCCCUGGAAAGUGGUUUUAUUUUGACCAUAACUAAAUAUGCAAAAAAUAGUAGGAUAAAUAAUGAGAUUAUUAAUAAAUCUCACAAAACUGUAAUUCUAAGGUUUAGCUUUAGUUUGGUUGGUUCAUCAACAGCUCAACAAUUUUGGAGGUCCAAAUCUGUUCUGGUAAGAGCUGGGGAUAAAAUGGUGGAUGAUAUAGACACAGCCUUGCUUGCCCAAAGUCAAGUGGAAAAGUAACAUAACAUAAGAGUGAAUAACAUAAUUAUGCAUUAUUCAUAGAUUCCAUUAUUAUACUCAUUCACAGAUUCCAGAUUUACAAUUUACCUACUCUCUAAAAUGUAUUUGUAAUCUCAAAAAUCAAUGCUCUUGGCCGGGUGCAGUGGCUCACGCCUGUAAUCCCAGCACUUUGGGAGGCCGAGGUGGGUGGAUCACCUGAAGUCAGGAGUUCAAGACCAGCCUAACCAACAUGGUGAAACCCACUCUCUACUAAAAGUACAAAAAUUAGCUGGGCAUGGUGGCGGGCAACUGUAAUCCCAGCUACUCGGGAGGCUGAGGCAGGAGAAUCACUUGAACCCGGGAGGUGGAGGCUGCAGUGAGCCGAGAUCGCACCACUGCACUCCAGCCAGGGUGACAGAGCAAGAUCCUGUC